rnacentral:lncRNA from 1 species
UUUCUGUUGUACCAAAGUCUUCGCUGAUUUUGUGCAUCAACAACUUGAAUCAAAACACUUAAAAACACAAAUUAAAACAAAUUCUAACUAAUUAGACACACUAAAGUAAAGGGGGAUUGAGUUUUGGACGAAGUUGAAAUAAACAAACAAGUAUGAAAAACUAGACAGAUUGUAAAACAAAUUUGAGAAAUAAGAUGAUGGAUGGGAUAGCUAGAGGCUUUUUCUCCACACAUGACAUGUAUGCAAAUAAAUUGAUUUCCAGUUACCACUUCAUUGAAUUAUGAAUGACAACGCUCCAAAUUAACCGUGACAUCACUAG